UGAAGAAAGUUGUAAUGGUUACGUGGUUGGCUUGAAACCAAUCUUAGGGGGUUCGAUUCCUUCCUUUCUUGU
rnacentral:tRNA from 1 species